rnacentral:rRNA from 1 species
GUGCCAGCAGCCGCGGUAAUACGUAGGUGGCAAGCGUUAUCCGGAAUUAUUGGGCGUAAAGCGCUCGCAGGCGGUCUUUUAAGUCUGAUGUGAAAGCCCCCGGCUCAACCGGGGAGGGUCAUUGGAAACUGGGAGACUUGAGUGCAGAAGAGGAGAGUGGAAUUCCACGUGUAGCGGUGAAAUGCGUAGAGAUGUGGAGGAACACCAGUGGCGAAGGCGACUCUCUGGUCUGUAACUGACGCUGAGGAGCGAAAGCGUGGGGAGCGAACAGGAUUAGAUACCCUGGUAGUCC